UAGAGUUUGAUCCUGGCUCAGGACGAACGCUGGCGGCGUGCCUAAUACAUGCAAGUCGAGCGGAGUUCAUCGGGAGCUUGCUUCGGAUGAACUUAGCGGCGGACGGGUGAGUAACACGUAGGCAACCUGCCCGUAAGACUGGGAUAACUACCGGAAACGGUAGCUAAUACCGGAUACGCAAGUUUCUCGCAUGAGGGGCUUGGGAAAGGCGGAGCAAUCUGUCACUUACGGAUGGGCCUGCGGCGCAUUAGCUAGUAGGUAGGGUAACGGCCUACCUAGGCGAUGAUGCGUAGCCGACCUGAGAGGGUGAACGGCCACACUGGGACUGAGACACGGCCCAGACUCCUACGGGAGGCAGCAGUAGGGAAUCUUCCGCAAUGGACGAAAGUCUGACGGAGCAACGCCGCGUGAGUGAUGAAGGUUUUCGGAUCGUAAAGCUCUGUUGCCAGGGAAGAACGUCUUAGAGAGUAACUGCUCUAAGAGUGACGGUACCUGAGAAGAAAGCCCCGGCUAACUACGUGCCAGCAGCCGCGGUAAUACGUAGGGGGCGAGCGUUGUCCGGAAUUAUUGGGCGUAAAGCGCGCGCAGGCGGCUGUUUAAGUCUGGUGUUUAAUCCUGGGGCUCAACCCCGGGUCGCACUGGAAACUGGACGGCUUGAGUGCAGAAGAGGAGAGUGGAAUUCCACGUGUAGCGGUGAAAUGCGUAGAGAUGUGGAGGAACACCAGUGGCGAAGGCGACUCUCUGGGCUGUAACUGACGCUGAGGCGCGAAAGCGUGGGGAGCAAACAGGAUUAGAUACCCUGAUAGUCCACGCCGUAAACGAUGAAUGCUAGGUGUUAGGGGUUUCGAUACCCUUGGUGCCGAAGUUAACACAUUAAGCAUUCCGCCUGGGGGAGUACGCCGCAAGGCUGAACUCAAGGAUUGACGGGAACCGCACAAGCAGUGAGUAUGUGGUUUAAUUCGAGCAACGCGAGAACUACAGGUCUUGACAUCCCCUGAACGUGCAGAGAUGUACUUCUCCGGACAGAGAAGUGGUCCAUGGUUGCUCACGCUCCAGUCCUGCAUGUAGUAAGUCGACCGAGGCACCUGACUAUGCAGCAGUCAGACUGCACU
rnacentral:rRNA from 1 species